CUUAGUUCCCCGACCAAGGAUCGAACCCGGGCCACAGCAGUGAAAGUGCCGAGUCCUAACCACUGGUCCACCCGAGGAUUCCCAGUGACUUGUGUUUCAACUGCCUCCUUGUCACCAGUUAGGGUGGGCGGGAGUCCCACUGCGGGGUAAGGGGUGGCUGGAGGCAGGACGUCUGACAUGGACAGAUGAGUAGACGGCUAUUAGGCACAAGGACUGACAGCCCCGGGGAGAAGGACGCCGCAGGCCCUACAGGGCACUUGGGGCGCAGUCAGGAGCAGAGUGUGCGGGCAGCCUUUAGUGACGAGAGGAUGAGGUGGCCUCCAGUUCUGUGGGAGGAUGUCACUGACUUGCUUGAAUCAUUCCGCGGGCUGGCAGGGCAGUGACAGCAGGAGCCCAGCCGGUCCCUCGGUCCCUCGAGAAGGAGGGCCUUGGGCUAUCCCAAGGGCUAUCUACCUCAUCGGCGGCAGCUGUGAGGGACCCUCCGUGUUUUCCUAGCGCGUGAGAUUCGCCCUCAAUCGAGGCCUUCACCACGGCUCGCGUUAGUCACGCGCCGUCUGCAAAAUGAGUCAGACAGGCCUGGGUUUGAUGCAGCCCAGUUGGGCUCCUGGCUCUCGGCAGACACGGCACCUCUGUGUGUGUGCCAGCUUUGUCCUUAGGGACGGUGGUUCCUAGGGUGGCAGCGAGGGUUAGAGGCAAGGGUGUGUCAGGGUCCAGCACACCCUGGGCGCCCCCUCACUAAGCGUGUCUUGUUAGAUUCGGGGGCUCGGGUGCAGGAGUCACCAGGCCAUGCUGGGUCCCCUGCAGCACUGCCUGCCUCUCGUAGGGCAGAGGGCUGUCCUCGUGCCACCUGUCCUGCCCAGGGGCUGUGCGCCCACAGCUGCUGUGCUCCUGACCAUAUUUGGGCAAGAGGCGGCGGCCGCUAUUAAUAACCAGCGGGGCCGCCAGGGCCCGGGGUGGUCUAUAAAGCCAGACCCACCAGCCCUGAGAGGCUCCUUCAGCCCCCGAGACCUUUAGCCCCCCUGUUGUACAGAGAGAAAAAGAAAAGUGCUUCUAUCUCGUGCACAUUCCAAAGAAAGAACCAGCUUCUGAGACUCACAGGAGGUCACCUGUAAGCCCUAGGAAUGUCCCAUCUGAUCCACUCCGCCCCGUUGAGGGGAGUGGUUAGAAGUCAGAGGACAUCCUUUCAUGGCAGCGGUUAAUGUAACCAUCUAGCGCGGAGGUCAAGGGCGGACACUUGGACGUAGGGCAGACCUGGGUUCAGAGCCUGACCUCGCUAUUCACCAGCUCCGUGACCCUGCAGUGCCAUGUUGCUCUGAGCUUGACUCACUUUUACCAUCUGCAAAAUGGGACUCACAGUUACAGUGCUGGGCACAGCCCAGACCGUGUGCCCAUUUCUGCAUGCAUGGAAACUUACAGGAUGUGUCUUCUGUGGCACUGCCAAGCAAGUCCAUCCCCGUCUCUUCCGAGAGUGGCCUGCAGACCCAGCCGGGAGCGGACAUCAGCCACCAGGCCCCACAAGUCCAGCCACAGGAGCGUGGAGUUCAGACAAAAUGACACCAACAAAAUCUGUUUAGCUUUGAGAAAUCGUUGGGACAAAAUACAUCUGCUCGCGAGCACAGAAAAUCAUAAACAAUCAGUGCUGGAGGGCUCCCAUUGGAUCAUCUAAUAAAUAUUAAGCCUUUUUUUGGGGGGGGGUGGGGACAGGGAAAGCUGAGGCCCAGUGAGAAGAAGGGUAUCAUCUAUAUUAUAUUUGGAAUAUAAGCAGCAUUCUUCAUGGGCUGACCCGGCAGGGUUUGGUCUCCGAUGAAUUGCUGCUAUUAAUGCAGCCAGAAGUUGUCCAAUGGACAUAGCAGACAACUGAAAGAGCUCUCUGUGGCCAAUGCUGGACUGGUCUGACCAACAAAAUAUAUCAUGAAGUAUUGGAUUGUGAGCCAGUGUUUAAAAUAAAAUGUCUGUGAGUCCAUACAGAUAUAAAUAAAUGAUUGAAUAAAUAAAUACAGGGAGAAGAGACAAAUUUUUCCUGCAGAGAAGAAUUUCAUAUAAUGUCUGUAGAUAUUCUGCCCUCAAGGAGAUGGAAAGUAACCCCCUUCUCUGUAAGUGUGGGCUGUGCACAGUGACUUCCUUCCAAAGAGGACAGUAUGGAAAGGGGGGAGGUGUGACCUUCCAGUGCAGACACCUGAGCAGCACGACCUCAGCCAGGGGACCGAGGUCAACACCAGCAGUGAUGAGUCAUGUUGACAGCAGGCACCCCAAGAUGAAGGAUGAGACGGCCCUUCACAGGUGGUCCUCCUCCCAGCACCCAGCGCCCCAGUGUAACCGUGAGAAAAACACCCGACAAGUUCCCACUGAGGGAGAUUCUACAAAAUCUCUGGCCACAGUCCUCAAACCCGUCAAGGGCAUCGAGAACAAGGAAAGUCUGAGAAACUGUCACAGCCCAGAGGAGCCUGAGGAGACAUGAUGCCUGAAUGUUACAUGGGAACGUGGGUGGGAUCCUAGGAAAGAAAAAGGAUAUCAGGAGAAAAGCACUAUGGAAAUCUGAAUAAAUUCUGGACUUCAGUUAAUAACAGUGUAUCAAUAUCAGUCUAUUAAUUGUAACAAAUGUAUCAGCCUAAUGUAAGAUGUUAAUUUAGGAGAAGCUGAGUGUGUGGGGGAGGGUAUGGAAAUUUUCUGUAAUAUUCUUGCAACUUUUCUGUAAGCCUAAA